UAAAAUCUAAAGUAUUAAACUGCGAGUCUACCAAUGGAAAGUUACUCGACACCAUUAAUCUUCCUUCUCAGACUUCACUGAUGUUCCACUGAGAGAUGACCAGCGAGAUUACCUCUGCAAAGUUGCUGAUGGGGUGAAUCCAGUGACUGGGAAUGCAACGAGAGACUCGUUGCUCUGCAAUUGAUACAGGCUCUUCUCCUCUGCUGUACGUAUUGUUGAACAUUUGGCUAGUUUCUAUUUUUCUAUCUUUAACUAUGUAACAGAGAAAUGCUAAAUAUAUUAUUUUGGAGUCGGUUGUUUGUCUUUUUAUUUACUUAUUUAUUUUUUGUUUCAUAUGGUUUGAUCUGUUACAAUAAUUUGAAAUAAGUCUGGUCAGGAUUUUACU